AGCACUACCAAUAUCUCAUGGA
rnacentral:siRNA from 1 species